GACGAACGCUGGCGGCGUGCUUAACACAUGCAAGUCGAACGGAAAGGCCCUGCUUUUGUGGGGUGCUCGAGUGGCGAACGGGCGAGUAACACGUGAGUAACCUGCCCUUGACUUUGGGAUAACUUCAGGAAACUGGGGCUAAUACCGGAUAGGAGCUCCUGCUGCAUGGUGGGGGUUGGAAAGUUUCGGCGGUUGGGGAUGGACUCGCGGCUUAUCAGCUUGUUGGUGGGGUAGUGGCUCACCAAGGCUUUGACGGGUAGCCGGCCUGAGAGGGUGACCGGCCACAUUGGGACUGAGAUACGGCCCAGACUCCUACGGGAGGCAGCAGUGGGGAAUAUUGCACAAUGGGCGGAAGCCUGAUGCAGCAACGCCGCGUGCGGGAUGACGGCCUUCGGGUUGUAAACCGCUUUCGCCUGUGACGAAGCGUGAGUGACGGUAAUGGGUAAAGAAGCACCGGCUAACUACGUG
rnacentral:rRNA from 1 species